rnacentral:rRNA from 1 species
GACGAACGCUGGCGGCGUGCUUAACACAUGCAAGUCGAGCGGUAAGGCCCUUUCGGGGGUACACGAGCGGCGAACGGGUGAGUAACACGUGGGUGACCUGCCCUCAGCUCUGGGAUAAGCCUGGGAAACCGGGUCUAAUACUGGAUAUGACUCCAUGACGCAUGUUGUGGGGUGGAAAGCCUUGUGCGGCUGAGGAUGGGCCCGCGGCCUAUCCAGCUUGUUGGUGGGGUGANGGCCUACCAAGGCGACGACGGGUAGCCGGCCUGAGAGGGCGACCGGCCACACUGGGACUGAGACACGGCCCAGACUCCGUACGGGAGGCAGCAGUGGGGAAUCUUGCGCAAUGGGCGAAAGCCUGACGCAGCGACGCCGCGUGAGGGAUGACGG